rnacentral:rRNA from 1 species
UACGUAGGGUGCGAGCGUUGUCCGGAAUUAUUGGGCGUAAAGGGUACGUAGGCGGUUUAGAGAGCCAGGUGUUAAAGCGUGAGGCUCAACCUCAUAAAGCAUUUGAAACUUCUAGACUUGAGUAGUGGAGAGGAAAGUGGAAUUCCUAGUGUAGUGGUGAAAUACGUAGAUAUUAGGAGGAAUACCAGUAGCGAAGGCGACUUUCUGGACACAAACUGACGCUGAGGUACGAAAGCGUGGGGAGCAAACAGG